rnacentral:rRNA from 1 species
CCGGGGCGCCCCCCGGGCGGGGCGGGGGCACGGGGGUUGGAGGGCAAGUCUGGUGCCAGCAGCCGCGGUAAUUCCAGCUCCAAUAGCGUAUAUUAAAGUUGUUGAGGUUAAAAAGCUCGUAGUUGAACCUUGGAUCUAGCCGGCCGGUCCGCCUCACCGCGUGCACUGGCUCGGCUGGAUCUUUCCUUCUGGAGAACCGCAUGCCCUUCACUGGGUGUGCCGGGGAACCAGGACUUUUACUCUGAACAAAUUAGAUCGCUUAAAGAAGGCCUAUGCUCGAAUACAUUAGCAUGGAAUAAUAGAAUAGGACGUGUGGUUCUAUUUUGUUGGUUUCUAGGACCGCCGUAAUGAUUAAUAGGGACAGUCGGGGGCAUCAGUAUUCAAUUGUCAGAGGUGAAAUUCUUGGAUUUAUUGAAGACUAACUACUGCGAAAGCAUUUGCCAAGGAUGUUUUCAUUAAUCAGGAACGAAAGUUAGGGGAUCGAAGACGAUCAGAUACCGU